GUACAUUGAUUAAUCGUUAAACUUAUAUGUGUAUAUAUAUAUAUAUAUAUAUAUAUGUAUAUUGAUUACUUGUUAGGAUAUGAUAAAAGUUACAGAUUCAACAAUUUAUGGUUUGAAAGUUUUUCUUGUCAAACUAACAAGCUGCGUAGUUACACUAUGUUUCCCCGAGUAAAAUUCUCGGACAGCCCCGAACACAGGCGAAGCCUAGCUCUUUGUUUUCGCCAUGGACGCAGGAGACCUAGUGGUUGAACACGACUCUAUGGACGAUCUCAGCAGAAACCGAUUCAGACAGACUCUCCACAAUCGCCGAAGCCGAGGGCUAGUCUCUUCCCAUUUCAAUCCAUUCUCGAGAAUUUCUGGUUGAAUUUUACCAUCUGCGUUGAUUGUUUCCUGUUUCCUGUUUCCCUUGGCUUCCGUUAUCUCGACCAACAUUUAUUACCUAAAAUGUUCUAAUUAGAUUUUGGGGGUUUCAGUUUCAUUUGUUGAAUUUGAUGAUUCGGUUCUAAUUAGUAACAUAGCUUGCUUGAAGUUGAUUUGAGUUUUGUUAUAGCAGCAAUGGAAUGGAGAUAGCAUGACCUGCCUUCAAAUCAAAUAUGCAGGUAAUGGAAAAUCAGUUUUUCAAUUUUUUUAAAAAAAAAGGUAAUGGAAAAUCUCAGAACAGAGAUUGGUGCUGUAGUGAUAUAAAGCCACAGGUUGAGAGCUAAAGUAUUUCUCUUGCAUCAAAGCUCUAAACACCUUUACAAGAUUAGUUGUGAUUGCAUUUGAAUUAUAGUUUAAAUAAGCCCAGAAGCUGCAAAUAGAAAGAAAAAAUAAGAGUGAAUAAAUGUUCUUAACUUGUGACAUAUUUAUCUCUUCCAUGACAUGUUUAUCUCUUCCCAGGUUUGAGACUAACAAUGCAAGCCUCAAAGACCCACAACAAGAAAACACAGAUAAUGUUUUUAAACUGCUUAGCUAAUUGUGAGCAGAUGAUGAGAGUAUAAGAGAGUAAGCACAUGUCGAUGCAAUCAUUGCUGUAAUCACAAACUAUAAUGUUGGAGAAUCUGAUGUUCGCUGCCUUCUUGAAUCUAGAACUUGUUCAUCAUUAGUGUAUUGACUCUGAUUCGCUCCCACUUGGUCCUGCUCAGUUCGCUCUCUAUUGCGAGUCUAUACUUUGAGCAUCUGGUCUUGCUUACUGAGCAUCUGAUCCAACCAGCUUAACAUCUGCUUCAAAAUUUUGAUUACUGCAUCACUAGCAUUUCUAGCUUCUGGUGGAACUUGUGAUGAUUGUGAUGAUGUUGAUGCACCUGGGAAGUUUUGAGCAGGAUCCAUUACUAACAUAAGCAAACAUGAGCAAAAAGAUUUGUAGUUUUAGAAGCACCAAACAGGGCAGAGGAUGAGUGUAAUUACAGAGAGAAAGGGGCAGCUGCAGAGAGAUUAAGGCAUCUGCAGGAAGCUGAGAUGAUGAGGAUGCACCAGUGUCUCCCUGGAAGAUUUGAGAAGUCCCCAUUGCUAACAAAAUCACAAGGAAAACAAUGAUAAGUUCUAAUUAGUAUGGUGUAAUACAAAAAUAUAAUAAAUCGUAGAUGACAUCUUUAUAAUAUUAAUUGUAGAUGACAUCUUUAUAAUAUUAUCUGAAAAAUCAUUUCUUA